CUUGAAAACUGACAGAUGUCAACUGAUCAAAACAUUCGAUACUCCUAACUUUAUCUCUGCUUUACACAUGAUGUUGUAAAUUAUAAAAACGAAAAAUGACUCCUGUGGCUAAACCACUGAAUGGAUUAGGUUAUUUUUUUUACAAUUCGCCAUAGAAUAUCAUAAAGUAUAUGCGAUAUGAUUUAAUGUGAUUGUGAACGACACACCCGAUAUAUUUCACAUGGUAAAAAUCACAAAUCCGUUAAAUAGGUAAACGAUAUACAACGUGGUACAAAAGUAUUCAAAAAAUAUAGUAAAUUAUGGAGAUGCGCGGUGUUACUAUAUGACAACUGGGUGACUUCCAUAUAUAAUCACGGACAUGAUAAGAGUGACAAAAGUCACCAGUACGCGCUGGCUAUUAGUGUUUCAUACCGUUUCUGUACAUUGUACUUAAAAAAGCUUAAGUAUGGUAAUCAUAUAAUCUAUGAUCUUACAAAGGGCUUACACAUCAAUAAACAAUUUUUGUUUAUUAUUUCGCGGUAAUUGAAAAAUUGGUAAUACGAUUUAAAAAAUAUGGUUCAUUGACUCCUUUAUAAGUGGGUCUUUAACCCCCUUGCGGUGUUUCGGGUACUUUUGUAACAUCCUGUAUAUUAAUUUUAAAAAGUUAAAAUAAACUUAUAUAUGUAUACAACUUAAAACUAAUACAGUGCAUCAAAAAAUUGCUCCUCAUCGCUGUCACUGGGUAAUGUACCCAAAAGACUGGCAGCAUUGCCACGUUGGAUGGCAAUGCUCAACCUCAGUGCGAAAUAAAUGUAAAUAUUUUGUUUUAAUGAAUUCAAUAAAAUCCUGUAUAUUUAUUCUCGAUAUUUUGAUUUUCAAUGUUUUGUUUUCCAAUGGUUUUUAGAAAUCUUAAUAUUUCAUAUUCAAAUGUAAAUGAACUGGUACUGAAAUUUCGUCCUUUUACGACGUUGUUGCAUGGGAGCAUUUGCAAUCUGAUCCAUAGAUCCGUCACGUAUUGGAAUAUAUUAUUAGCCAAUUUCUGUAAUAUAAAAGUAGUAAUCAAUAAAUCAGUCACUAUGAUAAA
rnacentral:lncRNA from 1 species